UGCCGAAUGGUGUAACGGUAGCACAGCGGUCUCUGACACCGUAUGUCUAGGUUCGAAUCCUAGUUCGGCAACCA
rnacentral:tRNA from 5 species